AUUGUAGUUCAAUAAGUGGUGGAAACCUAGCUGGAACUGAGUCGGUUAAGCCGGAACCUACCGGCAGUGAAGAGAGUCAUAGCUCAAAAUCAAGAGGUAAAGAAAUUGGUUCACUUCCCCAAGGUAGUGAAGUUGCGACCCCAAAACUGGAUGGACAACUGAAGUCAAUUCCCAUACCCAAACUUUUUGUGGCUAAUGAAAUAUUCGAU
rnacentral:misc_RNA from 1 species